rnacentral:rRNA from 1 species
AGAGUUUGAUCAUGGCUCAGGAUGAACGCUAGCGGCAGGCUUAAUACAUGCAAGUCGAACGGUAAUUCCGAUACUUGUAUCGGGAACGAGUGGCGCACGGGUGCGUAACGCGUAUGCAACCUACCUUUAACCGGGGAAUAGCCCAGAGAAAUCUGAAUUAAUACCCCAUAAUAUACUGAUAUCGCAUGAUAAUAGUAUUAAAGUUUCGGCGGUUAUAGAUGGGCAUGCGUGACAUUAGCUUGUUGGUGAGGUAAAGGCUCACCAAGGCAAAGAUGUCUAGGGGUUCUGAGAGGAUUAUCCCCCACACUGGUACUGAGACACGGACCAGACUCCUACGGGAGGCAGCAGUAAGGAAUAUUGGGCAAUGGACGGAAGUCUGACCCAGCCAUGCCGCGUGCAGGAUGACUGCCUUAUGGGUUGUAAACUGCUUUUAUACGGGAAAA